CCUACGGGUGGCAGCAGUGGGGAAUAUUGGGCAAUGGGCGCAAGCCUGACCCAGCAACGCCGCGUGAAGGAAGAAGGCUUUCGGGUUGUAAACUUCUUUUGUCAGGGACGAAGCAAGUGACGGUACCUGACGAAUAAGCCACGGCUAACUACGUGCCAGCAGCCGCGGUAAUACGUAGGUGGCAAGCGUUAUCCGGAUUUACUGGGUGUAAAGGGCGUGUAGGCGGGACUGCAAGUCAGAUGUGAAAACCACGGGCUCAACCUGUGGCCUGCAUUUGAAACUGUAGUUCUUGAGUACUGGAGAGGCAGACGGAAUUCCUAGUGUAGCGGUGAAAUGCGUAGAUAUUAGGAGGAACACCGGUGGCGUAAGCGCUUUACUGGGCCGUAAUUGACGCUGAGGAACGAAAGCCAGGGUAGCAAAUGGGAUUAGAUACCCGGGUAGUC
rnacentral:rRNA from 1 species